CUGAAUUUAAGCAUAUUAAUGAGGGGAGGAAAAGAAACUAACAAGGAUUUUCUUAGUAGCGGCGAGCGAAAAGAAAAUAGUUCAGCACUAAGUCACUUUGUCUUAAUGGCAAAUGUGAGAUGCAGUGUAUGGAAUGUCAAAUUUCUAGUAUGAGAAAUUAACGAUUUAAGUCCUUCUUAAAUGAGGCCAUUUACCCAAAGAGGGUGCCAGGCCCGUAUAACGUUAAUGAUUACUAGAUGGCAUUUCCAAAGAGUCGUGUUGCUUGAUAGUGCAGCACUAAGUGGGUGGUAAACUCCAUCUAAAACUAAAUAUAACCAUGAGACCGAUAGUAAACAAGUACCGUGAGGGAAAGUUGAAAAGAACUCUGAAUAGAGAGUUAAAUAGUACGUGAAACUGCUUAGAGGUUAAGCCCGAUGAACCUGAAUAUCCGUUAUAGAAAAUUCAUCAUUAUGAUUAUUAAUAUUUAUAAUAUUAUAAUAAUGGUGUGCAUUUUUUCUAUAAAGGACAUUGUAAUCUAUUAACAUAAAUUAAUAUUUAUCACAAGAUCAAGUUGCGUAAGUUUAUUCAAAUUAUUUUGCUUGCAAUUUAACAUAGAAUAAAUGCUCUUGAUUUGAUAAAGUGUUGAUAGAUUUAUUAUAUAUAGUGCUUAAAUAUUUAUAUUUUAUAAUAGCAUAUUAAUCAUUGAUUUUUAUGUUUAUUAUAUGCACUUAUAUGAUUAACAAUGCGAAAGAUUCAGGAUACCUUCGGGACCCGUCUUGAAACACGGACCAAGGAGUCUAACAUAUUUGCAAGUUAUUGGGAAUAAAAACCUAAUAGCGAAAUUAACAUAACUUAUAUGAUGGGAUUAGUUUUUAGCCUAUUUAUAGUCUAUUAAUUCAAUCCCGGGGCGUUCUAUACAGUUAUGUAUAAUAAUAUUUAUAUUAUUUAUACCUCUAACUAGAGCGUACCUUGAGCAUAUAUGCUGUGACCCGAAAGAUGGUGAACUAUACUUGAUCAGGUUGAAGUCAGGGGAAACCCUGAUGGAAGACCGAAACAGUUCUGACGUGCAAAUCGAUUGUCAGAAUUGAGUAUAGGGGCGAAAGACCAAUCGAACCAUCUAGUAGCUGGUUCCCUCCGAAGUUUCCCUCAGGAUAGCUGGUACAUUUAAAAAUUAUGUAAAAUAAUCUUAUCUGGUAAAGCGAAUGAUUAGAGGCCUUAGGGUCGAAACGACCUUAACCUAUUCUCAAACUUUAAAUGGGUAAGAACCUCACCUUUCUUGGUAUGAAGGUAGUGGUUGUGAUAUAAUGUGCCCAGUGGGCCACUUUUGGUAAGCAGAACUGGCGCUGUGGGAUGAACCAAACGUAAUGUUACGGUGCCCAAAUUAACAACUCAUGCAGAUACCAUGAAAGGCGUUGGUUGCUUAAAACAGCAGGACGGUGGACAUGGAAGUCGUAAUCCGCUAAGGAGUGUGUAACAACUCACCUGCCGAAGCAACUAGCCCUUAAAAUGGAUGGCGCUUAAGUUGUAUACCUAUACAUUACCGCUAAAGUAGAUGGUUUAUGUUCAAUUUCGGUUGGAUUAUAAACUUUGAAACUUUAGUGAGUAGGAGGGUACAAUGGUGAGCAUAGAAGUGUUUGGCGUAAGCCUGCAUGGAGCUGCCAUUGGUACAGAUCUUGGUGGUAGUAGCAAAUAAUCGAAUGAGACCUUGGAGGACUGAAGUGGAGAAGGGUUUCGUGUGAACAGUGGUUGAUCACGAGUUAGUCGGUCCUAAGUUCAAGGCGAAAGCCGAAAAUUUUCAAGUUAUAAUGAAAAGUAAGUAAAUAUUUACUUAGUAAUUAAACACUUGAAUAAUUUUGAACGAAAGGGAAUACGGUUCCAAUUCCGUAACCUGUUGAGUAUCCGUUUGUUAUUAAAUAUGGGCCUUGUGCUCAUCCUGGCAACAGGAACGACCAUAAAGAAGCCGUCGAGAGAUAUCGGAAGAGUUUUCUUUUCUGUUUUAUAGUCGUACUACCAUGGAAGUCUUUCGAAGAGAGAUAUGGUAGAUGGACUAGAAGAGCAUGACAUUUACUGUUGUGUCGAUAUUUUCUCCUCGGACCUUGAAAAUUUAUGGUGGGGUCACGCAAACUUCUCAACAGGCCGUACCAAUAUCCGCAGCUGGUCUCCAAGGUGAAGAGUCUCUAGUCGAUAGAAUAAUGUAGGUAAG
rnacentral:rRNA from 1 species